GGUUAAGCGACUAAGCGUACACGGUGGAUGCCUAGGCAAUCAGAGGCGAUGAAGGACGUGCUAAUCUGCGAUAAGCGUCGGUAAGGUGAUAUGAACCGUUACAACCGACGAUUUCCGAAUGGGGAAACCCAGUGCAAUCCGUUGCACUAUCGUUUGAUGAAUACAUAGUCAAACGAAGCGAACCGGGGGAACUGAAACAUCUCAGUACCCCGAGGAAAAGAAAUCAACCGAGAUUCCCCUAGUAGCGGCGAGCGAACGGGGAGCAGCCCAGAGUCUUAAUCAGCAUUAGCAUCAGGAGAACGGUCUGGAAAGUCCGGCAGUAAAGGGUGAUAGCCGAUAGCCCCGUA
rnacentral:rRNA from 1 species